GAUGGGUGCCAGACCGCCUAGGAUAGGGGGGAGGACUUAAGAUCCUCUGGCGUAGGCCUCCGUGGGUUCGAAUCCCACCCCCCGCA
rnacentral:tRNA from 1 species